UACGUAGGUCCCAAGCGUUGUUCGGAUUCAUUGGGCGUAAAGGGUGCGUAGGCGGCGCGGUAAGUCGGGUGUGAAAUCUCGGAGCUUAACUCCGAAACUGCAUUCGAUACUGCCGUGCUUGAGGACUGGAGAGGAGACUGGAAUUUACGGUGUAGCGGUGAAAUGCGUAGAUAUCGUAAGGAAGACCAGUGGCGAAGGCGGGUCUCUGGACAGUUCCUGACGCUGAGGCACGAAGGCCAGGGGAGCAAACGGG
rnacentral:rRNA from 1 species